GAUGAACGCUGGCGGCGUGCCUAAUACAUGCAAGUCGAGCGAACAGAUGAGGAGCUUGCUCCUCUGACGUUAGCGGCGGACGGGUGAGUAACACGUGGAUAACCUACCUAUAAGACUGGGGUAACUACGGGAAACCGGAGCUAAUACCGGAUAAUAUAUUGAACCGCAUGGUUCAAUAGUGAAAGACGGUUUUGCUGUCACUUAUAGAUGGAUCCGCGCCGCAUUAGCUAGUUGGUAAGGUAACGGCUUACCAAGGCAACGAUGCGUAGCCGACCUGAGAGGGUGAUCGGCCACACUGGAACUGAGACACGGUCCAGACUCCUACGGGAGGCAGCAGUAGGGAAUCUUCCGCAAUGGGCGAAAGCCUGACGGAGCAACGCCGCGUGAGUGAUGAAGGUCUUCGGAUCGUAAAACUCUGUUAUUAGGGAAGAACAAAUGUGUAAGUAACUAUGCACGUCUUGACGGUACCUAAUCAGAAAGCCACGGCUAACUACGUG
rnacentral:rRNA from 1 species